CUACGGCCUCAGAUCAGACGUGGCGACCCGCUGAAUUUAAGCAUAUUACUAAGCAGAGGAAAUAAACUAACCUGGAUUCCCUGAGUAACAGCCAGGGAAGAGCCCAGGCAUGUGAACGUGGCGUACAGAAGACGAAUCCCGGCAUCGCUCAUGGGGCUCAAGUCCUUCUGAUCGAGUCUCAUCCUGCGGAUGGUGUAGGCUGGUAGCAGCCUCUGGCACGCCGGGAUCAGGUCUUCUUGGAGUCAGGUUGCUUGGGAAUGCAUCCCAAAGCAAACUCUAUCUAAGGCUAAAUACGGCGCAAGACGGAUGGCUAACAAGUACCGUAAGGGAAAGUUAAAAAGAACUUUGAAGAGAUAUUCAAGAGGGCGUGAAACCAUUGAGUGGUACACUGGUGGGGUCCAUGCAAUCUGCCCGCAGGAUUCAACACGGCAGGCAGAUCGGUUGCCUGGAACAGUGGAUGCCCUCGCAGGGCUGCCGCCCAAGCAGACCUGGCCCCCGCAGGUGCAUUUCCUCUGUACCGGUGCACUGCGACCGCCUUGGAAGGCCCCAGGGGGCAGAUGGCUCUCUGCUCCGGCUUAGUGUUACAGCUCCCUGACAGUAGUUUUGCUGUGUCCUAGGGCGAUUGACCACUGCCGUGCCCUUCUCUGGCAACCGUCCUGGCCCCUCUUCGGGGUCGGCGGGGCAGCGACGGGAGAGAGGGCUCCCGAUGCGAAUGUGGCGACUGCCCUCAGUGCGCCCCAACCACGUUGUGCCGCUGGGCGUGGAGGCCCACAAAGCGCGCCAGGGUCUGAGGUGAUGUCUUGAAACACAGGCCAAAGAGUCUUAACACGUGCAGUAGUCGGAGGGCCAAAUGAAAUCCUUUGAUGCAAAGCCAGCGCGUCCCAUUUGCAGUGGGAUCCCGUUGCGGUGUGCGCCCCACUGACCCGUCUCACCCGCUCUGUCAGGGAGAUGGAGCAUGAGCGCGUGUGAUAGGACCCGAAAGAUGGUGAACUAGGCCUGGUGGAGGUCAGUAGCGGUCCUGAUGUGUAAAUCGGUCACCCGACCUGGGUAUAGGGGCGAAAGACUAAUCAAACCAUUUAGUAGCUGUUCCCUCCGGAGUUUCCCUCAGGAUAGCUGGCGCACGGAAACCCCAGUUUUAUAUGGUAAAUCGAAUGAUUGGAGAUCUGGGGGCCAAAAUGAUCUCAAACUAUUCUCAAACUUUACAUGGGUAAGAAGCCUGGCUCGCUGGCGUGGAGCUGGGCAUUGAAUGUAGGUGGCCAGUGGGCACCUUUUAUUAAGCAGAACUGGCGCUGCAGGAUGAACCAAAUGCUGGGUUAAGGCGCCCGAUGCCGAUGCUCAUCAGACCCCAGAAAAGGUGUUGGUUGAUACACAGCAGGACGGUGGCCAUGGAAGUCGGAAUAUGCUAAGGAGCCCCAGGGGAGAGUUCUCUUUUCUUUGUGAAGGGGGUGGGCACCCUGGAAUGGGUUCGCCCUGAGAGAGGGGCCCAAGCCUUGGAAAGCCUUGCGGUUCUGGCGACGUGCAGUGAGCUCUCGCUGGUCCUUGAAAAUCCAGGGGAGAUGGUGUAAAUCUCGCGCUGGGCCGUACCCAUAUUCACAGCAGGUCUCCAAGGUGAACAUCCUCUGGCAUGCCGUGCAGUACCCAUAUCUGCAGCAGGUCUCCAAGGUAAACAGCCUCUGGCAUGUUGGAACAAUGUAGGUAAGGGAAGUCGACAAGCCAGAUCCGUAACUUCGGGAUAAGGAUUGGCUCCAAGGGCUCGGUCGUCUGGUCGGGGCGCGAAUCGGGGCUGGUCACGUGCCCCGGUUGGAUGAGGCGUCUCACCCCACGUUCCCCCAGGGGUGGUGCCAAGUCUGGAUGUGAGCCAGGCCCUGCCUGUGGAUCGCCCCAGCUGUGGUGGUCGCCUAUAUACGUUCCCCUCCCGGGUUUCGGGGCUGACGUUCUGCCUCAGCCGAAGCCUAGCAGCUGACUUGGAACUGGUGCUGACUGACUUGGAACUGGUGCGGACCAGGAGAAUCCGACUGUUUAAUUAAAACAGCAUCGCAAAGGCCUGCAGUGGGUGUUGACACGAUGGAUUUGUGCCCAGUGCUCUGAAUGUCAAAGUGAAGAAAUUCAAUGAAGCGCGGGUAAACGGCAGGAGUAACUAUAACUCUCUUAAGGUAGUCAAAUGCUUCAUCUAAUUGGUGAUGCGCAUGAAUGGAUGAACGAGAUUUCCCAUUGUUCCUACCUACUAUCUAGCGAAACCACAGCCAAGGGAAUGGGCUUGGCAGAAUCUGCAGGGAAAUAAGACCCAGUUGAGCUUGCCUCUAGUCUGGCACUGUGAAGGGACAUGCAAGGUGUAGGUUAAGUGGUAGGCCCUCGGGCCGGCGGUGAAAUACCACUACUCAUCAUUUUUUCACUUACCCGGUGAGGUGGGGGCCGAGUCACGUGGGGCUCUCACUUGCGCCUGCCGUGUGUGACCCGCUCCGGGGACAGUGGCAGUUGGGGAGUUUGACUUGGGCGGUACACCUGUCAAACAAACAAUAACACAGGUGAGCUAAGGGCGGACAGAAACCUCCCGCGGGGCAGAAGGGCAAAAGCUCACUUGAUCUCCAUUUUUUUUCAGUAUGAAUACAGACUGUGAAAGUGGGGCCUCACGAUCCUUCUGACUUUUUGGGUUUCAAGCAGGAGGUGUCAGUAAAGUUACCACAGGGAUAACUGGCUUGUGGGGCCAAGCGUUCAUAGCGACGUCGCUUUUGAUCUUCGAUGUCGGCUCUUCCUAUCAUUGUGAAGCAGAAUUCACCAAGCGUUGGAUUGGUCACCCACUAAUAGGGAACGUGAGGUGCGUUUAGACCGUCGUGAGACAGGUUAGUUUUACUCUGAUGUGUUGUUGCAAUAGUAAUCCUGCUCAGGACAAGAGGAACCGCAGGUUCAGACAUUUGGUGUAUGUGCUUGGCUGAGGAGCCAAUGGGGCAAAGCUACCAUCUAUGGGAUUCUGACUGAACGCCUGUCCCCCCUAAACCGUAACGAUACUGCAUCGCUGUGGAGCCUCGGUUGGCCUAGGAUAGCUGGCCUUUGGGCUGGUGCAUAGAGCCACUCGCAUAGGGACUCGUGUGUGGACAGAAGGGGGCCACCUCUAUCACUCUUAGUGUACCGCAU
rnacentral:rRNA from 1 species